GAUGAACGCUAGCGGCAGGCUUAAUACAUGCAAAUCGUGGGGCAGCAGGGGCGUAGCAAUACGCUCGCUGGCGACCGGCAAACGGGUGCGGAACACGUACACAACCUUCCUUUAAGUGGGGAAUAGCCCGGGGAAACCCGGAUUAAUACCCCGUAACAUAAUGAAGUGGCAUCGCUUUAUUAUUAUAGCUCCGGCGCUUGAAGAUGGGUGUGCGACUGAUUAGGCAGUUGGCGGGGUAACGGCCCACCAAACCGACGAUCAGUAACUGGUGUGAGAGCGCUACCAGGCGCACGGGCACUGAGACACGGGCCCGACGCCUACGGGAGGCAGCAGUAAGGAAUAUUGUUCAAUGGACGCAAGUCUGAACCAGCCAUGCCGCGUGGAGGAUGAAGGUCCUCUGGAUUGUAAACUUCUUUUAUCUGGGAAGAAAUCCAUGAAUUCUUUUGCGGUUGACGGUACCAGAUGAAUAAGCACCGGCUAACUCCGUGCCAGCCGCCGCGGUAA
rnacentral:rRNA from 1 species